rnacentral:lncRNA from 1 species
UCGGACCUGAAAUCAAUAGUGACAUAAAAAUAAAUAGUUUUUUCAUAUACUUCUAAGGUGACAUAUUAUAUACAACUAGCAUCAUAGGCCACAUACUGUAGGAAGUACUCAAAUUAUCAAAGAGAUUAAAUCCAUCUAUCGCUAGACCAAGACAGAUAUUGCACGGGUCACUCAUAAAGUGCGGAUGCUUUGCAUCAAAGUCUUUUCACACUAUAGAGUC